CGGUGUCUUAUACGAGUUAGACAUUACUAUGUGUCAUGUCUAUUAAGAUAGUUUCCAGUGAUUUGAAAUUAGCAAUAUAUGAAUUACUUUUAAGGAAAAGGGGUCUUGUGAAUACAUGUAAGGGUAAAACGUAUCCCGCUUUAAUUACCUGAUUCUUAUUCUAGCUUUAUAUUUCACUGGUCGUGUUUGAUCUGGUGGUUAUCCAAUCUAGUUGAUUUGUUUUGGUUACGAAAAUAUGAAAUAAAAAAUAUCCUUUGAUCGUUCACUUUGCUUACCCAUGAUUAAGUGUCAGUCAAAUGUUUACAACUUGUGGACUAUCCUUGAGCAAGUUCUGCGAGGUUCACAGCUGGUGUCCGGUUGGUGGCUUGUGAAGAUCAGUGUUGUGACUGUUUGGAUGUUUCAAGACAUAACAAUAGACUUUGAUUUCCUUGCUUUCCAGCUGUGCCCUUAAUAGGCGUUUGCUGCCUCGGGUUUUGCAUCCAAAGGGAUCCAAGAUGCUAAAAACUUUAUGCAUGGUGGUUGUUCAUCAUGAAGUCUUUGCGACUUUUUACUUGAAUACUAGAACAUGGCUUUAGUUGCUUAAAGCGUCUCGGUCCAGCUGUGCGCCUCAUUGAAUUCUCAACCUCUAAUUUAACAUGAAAAGAGGCUCCGAGAGUUUAAGAUUUGAAAUUUGAUUCAUACAAAUUUUUGCAGGUUAAUGCAACUUGGUUCUAUAGCAUGAACAUGAUCAUAAGUUUUAACCAGGUCUUUUAUAUUCUUUUUUGAAGUGUCAUCUAUUUUGUUUCUUUUGUUAUUGUGUCAUUAAAUCGGCUUUAAGCCUUGAGUUCCAAGCCAUAGUUACGCAACAGCUCAUCCUUUCUCGCAAGCAUCCACUAUUCAUUUCUUUGUUGGGUUUUGAUUUUAUUAUUUGUGCGAUUCAAGUUUGAAAUUCUCCGAAUUUGAGAGUCAACUCAUGGUUGAGAAUAUCCCAGUGAAUUGCUCUGCGAAGGGUUAAUAUCCUUCAAAUUCCUAGAGAUAAUGUAGUCUUUUGAAUGAUAUUUUGUCCUCGUUUGAUUUAUUUUCUUNNNNNNNNNNNNNNNNNNNNNNNNNNNNNNNNNNNNNNNNNNNNNNNNNNNNNNNNNNNNNNNNNNNNNNNNNNNNNNNNNNNNNNNNNNNNNNNNNNNNNNNNNNNNNNNNNNNNNNNNNNNNNNNNNNNNNNNNNNNNNNNNNNNNNNNNNNNNNNNNNNNNNNNNNNNNNNNNNNNNNNNNNNNNNNNNNNNNNNNNNNNNNNNNNNNNNNNNNNNNNNNNNNNNNNNNNNNNNNNNNNNNNNNNNNNNNNNNNNNNNNNNNNNNNNNNNNNNNNNNNNNNNNNNNNNNNNNNNNNNNNNNNNNNNNNNNNNNNNNNNNNNNNNNNNNNNNNNNNNNNNNNNNNNNNNNNNNNNNNNNNNNNNNNNNNNNNNNNNNNNNNNNNNNNNNNNNNNNNNNNNNNNNNNNNNNNNNNNNNNNNNNNNNNNNNNNNNNNNNNNNNNNNNNNNNNNNNNNNNNNNNNNNNNNNNNNNNNNNNNNNNNNNNNNNNNNNNNNNNNNNNNNNNNNNNNNNNNNNNNNNNNNNNNNNNNNNNNNNNNNNNNNNNNNNNNNNNNNNNNNNNAUUAAAUAUAAUCAAGUAUUUUAACAUCAAAAUCACAAAAAAUAUCUUGUGGUAAUCGCAUUUACAUUCUUUCUAAUUUUAUCCUUUAGGCGAUAUUAUGAUCAUAUAUAUAUAUAUGCAUAUUUUUAUAUAAAAUAAAUAUUUUAUUUUAUAUUAUAUAUUCUUAUAUAUAUUAUUAAUAUUAAAUUUAAAGAAAAAAAGAUAAUUAAAUUAUAUGCUUAUACAUGUUACGCCUAUAAUUUAUAUACGUUUAAACAAAAAAUAAUUUUAGGAUAGCAGGGAGCAUCGAUAAAAUUAAUUUCAGUGGAAAAGAAUAUUCAGGCCAACAAUCCAGUUUUAAUUUUAUUUCACCCGACUAGCAUAGACUGAUUUAGUUCGUUAAUUCUUCUUCCCAAUCCGAGGGUCCUAAUUUUUAAUUGUUUAUAUAUAUUAAUAUUAUAGUUUGUUUUUAUUUUAAAUACAAACUGUUUCGAUCAAAAUCGAAUAGAUCAAAAAUAAAUAAUUUUAAAUCAACAUUUUCCUUAAAUUUAUCCAUAUAUAUACAUAUGGAUAUUUAUAUAUACUGUAUAUACAACUUUUGUUUUAUAUUAAUUAUAAGAUAUUUAUUUUUAACCAUCCAAACAAAUGAUCGAACGGACCAGAUUCUGAUCAACAACCAGUACAAAAAGCACCUAUUCUCUUUGAAAAAAAGAAAGGACCAAGCACGUGCCUCUUAUCUCAUCCUCCCACCUCCUUUAUCUCAUGUCCACCACCCCACCUCCUACCCUGACAAAUUCAACCACUGCCUGCGUCUCCCAUCCUCCCACCCUAAAAAUCUGCCAAACAGUGACGGCUAUCAAUCAAAGUCCUCCAAGUCAAAGAACCCAGAUCUUAUCCCUGUGAAGUCAUAUCUCUUACCUCAAAUUCAUUAAAUAUUGUCAGCGUGAAUCCCUUCUUCUCCUGUUUCUCUGGCUUGAGGGCCUAAAAGUCUCACCCUCUCCACUGUUAACUUGGAGGAGAGGAUAACAAGUUCAUGUUCAUCCCUCAUUCCUUUCAAAUCAUCUUGAAAAUGGGGUAAAUCCCUAUCUUUACUCUAUUUUCUUUAAAAAACCUAUGGAUUGUCCUAUCAACAAUUUGAAUUUGAAUUUGAAUUCAAUUUGAAGCCUCAUUGAGAAGCUCUCACACUCCAGAGUGUGUUUAUAAAAGGGGCUACAUCCAUACCUUUAGGGACAGGAGAAAAAAUUGGGGAAAAGAAGAAAGAGUCAGGAGAAAAGAAAAAAAAGAUUUGGAAAAGGGGCUUCAGAAAGCAGAGAAGAAAAGAAUUGGAGGAAGAAGCAAAAUUUUGUGAGGAAAUCUCUGAGUUCGGAGUCCUGAUCGAGUUCGUCGCUGGAAAAUUCUUGACGCAGAAACUCCAGUUCUGCUACCAUAGAAAAGGUACAGAUUUUGUCCUUUCAUCUCCCUUUUCCUUCGUUUGAGUUCAUAAGCAUAUGUUUAGUGCAGAUAAUGUAAAAUCUCACAUUGAUGUGAUUGAAAUAAAUGAGUUUCGAUCAAACUCCAAGUUGUUGUUAAUAUCAAAGACUAGGCCUAAAUUUGGUUGUAUAUCAAUUUUACGUUGUUGUUAUCUCUGAAAUUAGUUUUGAAGGUGAGUGUUUAAUUUUUGAUUCAAUUAGUUCUAAAAAUUGGAUGUAAAAUGCAAAGUAUGCUGCUUUUGAUGCUAGAAAUUGAUUCAUGUAUGAAUAUGCAAUUUUUCUUUCUUAUCAUUUGACUAAGAUGUUGUUUUCGGGAAAAGAAGUUCAUGAAUUUGGCUUCACUUUUUUUUUAUUUUCUUUUGAAUAAGUUAGUGCUAGAAAGCUUCGGAAAUUGAGAAAUUAGCCUUAUGGUUCACUAUUGCCUACCCCUUUUCCAGUCAUGUUGAUAUUGUCAUUUGUUUAGCUUAAAUGGUGUUAUGGAAACUAAUUUCCUGUUUGAUGUCGAUUUCUUAUCGCAAUUUUGUGAAAGGACCCCCUACUUUGUGCUACUUUUAGCCAAGAUGUGAAGCCAUCUAAAUGAUAUUUUGAUUCCACUGGUCAUUUUAGGGGCUGCCACGAAUACCCCAAAAUUAUCGUGUUCAUAAGCUUUGGGUUUGUUUAGUAUCAAUAACAAGGUUAAAAAUUUGUCACUAUAAGGGAUUUCGUAUACUCCUAGAAUGUACCUUAACUUGGAAAGAAUCGUCCCGUUUAUGUGGAAUGUUAAGGUUUGGUUUGAGGAUAGCUCUCUGUUUUGCUUGUUUUUUUGAAUUAAAAAAAAAAACCUUAGAGUAUUCUGGUUACUCACCAUUUUUUAUUUUAGGUGUGAAACAUUUUAAGAUCAAUGGGGCUACUUUCUUCCAUCGCCUUCGCAUUAAUUGCCCCGCAAGAAGUAGUUUCUUUUUAACUUUGCUAUUUGAUUAUAAAUUUUCUUGAAUCAUUAUGUUGUCCAUGGUGUGCGGUGUCUUAUACGAGUUAGACAUUACUAUGUGUCAUGUCUAUUAAGAUAGUUUCCAGUGAUUUGAAAUUAGCAAUAUAUGAAUUACUUUUAAGGAAAAGGGGUCUUGUGAAUACAUGUAAGGGUAAAACGUAUCCCGCUUUAAUUACCUGAUUCUUAUUCUAGCUUUAUAUUUCACUGGUCGUGUUUGAUCUGGUGGUUAUCCAAUCUAGUUGAUUUGUUUUGGUUACGAAAAUAUGAAAUAAAAAAUAUCCUUUGAUCGUUCACUUUGCUUACCCAUGAUUAAGUGUCAGUCAAAUGUUGUCAACUUGUGGACCAUCCUUGAGCAAGUUCUGCGAGGUUUAUAGUUGGUGUCCAGUUGGUGUCUUGUAAAGAUCAGCGUUGUGACCAUUUGGACAUUUCAAGACAUAAUAAUAGACUUUGAUUUUCUUGUUGUCCAGUUGUGCCCUUACUAGGCGUUCGCAGCCUCGGGUUUUGCAUCAAAAGGGCUCCAAAAUGCUAAAAACUUUAUGUAUGGUGGUUGUUCAUCAUGAAGUCUUUUUGACUUUUUACUUGAAUUCUAGAACAUGGCUUUAGUUGCUUAAAGCAUCUUGGUCCAGCUGUGCCCCUAAUUGAAUUCUCAACCUCUAAUUUAACAUGAAAAGAGGCUCCGCAGGUUUAAGAUUAGAAAUUUGAUUCAUAAAAAUUUUUGCAGGUUAAUGUAACUUGGUUCUAUCGCAUGAACAUGAUCAUAAGUUUUAACCAAGUCUUUUAUAUUCUUGUCUGAAGUGUGUCAUCUAUUUUGUAUCUUUUGUUAUUAUGUCAUUAAAUCGGUUUUAAGCCUUGAGUUCCAAGCCAUAGUUACGCAACAACUCAUCCUUUCUCGCAAGCAUCCAUUUUUCUUUUCUUUGUUGGGUUUUGAUUUUCUUAUUUGUGCGAUUCAAGUUUGAAAUUCUUCGAAUUUCAGAGUCGAUUUAUGGUUGAGAAAAUCCCAGUGAAUUGCUCUGCGAAGGGUUAAUAUCCUUCAUAUUCCUAAAGAUAAUGUAGUCUUUUGAAUGCUAUUUGGUCCUCGUUUGAUUUAUUUUCUUAGGUGUGUUUAAAAUCUGUGAUUUUAUUUAUUAUGAGACGAAUUGAAAUAAGUAUUUGACAAAAUAAAUGUACUUGAGAAUUCCCAAAGGCAGAGUAGUACUUUAGAUUAAUCAAAUAUGUGAACAAUGGUACGAUUUAUCCCAAAAUUCUGCUCAUGCUUGUUUUGCCUUAGCCAAAAGCGCAACUUUUCUUGGUUUUAUUUAAAAAAAAAAAACCGGUUGCAUGAUCUCACAAGGAAAUAGUUAGUUUUAUUCUUACAGAAUGCUCUCAUUCAAAGCAUGUUUCCUCUCAAUUGCACACAAAUUUUUUAUCUUACUAGUCACUAAUCCUUAUCUUAUUUUUAUUUUUCUAGUUACUAAUCUUUAUAUUUUUUAUUUCACAUGUGAACCCGGGAGCCGGAGUUACAUAAUGGAACUCAUUUUUUGACCCGAUAAUUGGGUCAACGGUCACUAGGAUCACCAGAGCUUCGAAGUCGAGCAAAUUAGAAGCCCAACUCAUAAAUGGAGUCUAGUAUCUCAUAUCUUCUUUGAAUUUAAUUUAUACUCGUCAUGUUGAGUUUUAGGAUGAUACUGAGUUUUGUUAUUGAAUUUUCUUAUUUUUUUAAUAACUUUAAUUAAUUAUUAAAUUUAUGCUAUCUUGUUAUUUGUCAAUCCUUUAGAAGUAGUUUUAACGUUUCGACUUUCGCAAAUAACAUGCGGCUAUCGCUAAGGAAAAUAUUUUUUCCAUAAUCGGUUAAUUCUUUUGGAAAACUUCUUACCAAUAUCUUAAAUGAUAUUAGCAUAGCAACCUUCACAUUUUUCUUUAAACUAUAACAAAAGAUAAAUACAUAGAUUUUUAGUUUUAAAUUAAUUGAGAAAGUUAUCAAAAUUUUAGAUUUUUCCAAAAGAGUUUAUUCAUCAAUUUUAACUUCUUUUUUAGUAAAUAACUCUAACGUUCAAGCUAUUUUAUAUUUUUACUUUCGUUUGGGGUUUCAGAUUCUCAAGAGAUUAGAAAACACGAGGUAUAUACAUUCUUUUGCUACCACAUACAAGGUACAUCGUAUUAUUUUUACAAUAACUAUUUCAAAUCAUAUCCAUUAUUACCAUUAUUAUUUACACCAUAAUAUUUAUUACUAUUUCAAUUAUUAUUAUUACUAUUAACGUCAUUAUUAAUAUUACUAGUGUCACCAUUAUUACUAUUAUUUUAUUAUUAUUAUUAUUAUUAUUAUUAUUAUUAUUAUUAUUACGCACUACUACUACUAAUCUUACUGCUAUUAUUUAUUAAUAUUAUUAUUCAAUUUUUACUUUUUAUUUAAUAUUUACAUAAAUUAUAUUUAGAUAGUUUUAUAAUAUUUAUUUGAUUUUUUAAAGAUCUAAACAUAAUAGAGUAAAAGUUCAUUCAAAACUCUUUAACCAUGAGUUUCUAUUUAUAAAGAUAAUAAAGUUUUUAUCUUAUCCAUAUCAUAAAAUUUUAAAAAAGCUAUUUUCAUAUCUUAAAAUAUUCAUGUAACAUAUAUACAUAUAUGCGAUGAUUGCAUUAUUUUCUUGUACAUGGUAGCAUCACGUUUGUUAUACCUUAAGCUUUUUUUAAUAUAUAAAAUAGCAAGUAGAAAAUAGCGAUGAAAGUUUUCUUAUCACCAUUUUCGCAAAUAAAUAAAAGUAAUAUUUUUCUUAAUUAAGCGUAAGGACUAUCUUUGGAUAGGUUCUGAGGAAUGCCUAACACCUUCCCCUCGAGUAACCAAAACACUUGCUCAGAAUCUCAAAAUGUUUUCAAUUGACCAAAACAAAGUUUUCUACAUAAAAAAUGGUUUUUCCUAAUUUUCCUAAAAAGUUAGGUGGCGACUCUAAAAAAAAUGAAUUUUCAAAACCCAAGAGUCACAUUAAACACGUAGCCAGCAUACUAUGUGUGCUGUUUGGAUCGGUUCGAAAUGGGGCGCGACAAAAUGGCGACUCCGCUGGGGAUUUUGUGAACUUAGAUUUUAACCUUAACAUGGUUAGUUUGAGAUUUUUAUACUUUAUUACGUUAUUUGCUUUACGUAUCUUUAUAUCAUACUCUGUGCGAAAGGACGCAAGCCAAAUCCAAAAUUGUGUUCCUUAUUUGUUUGAACAAAACUACUUGUUACUGCUUUAUCACUUGCAUUUUUUUAUCGAGUCUUUGGCCGUACACAAUUCACACACUGUGGUUCACACGGGGGGUGUAUCUACACUCCCCAAACCUUCUUUGGAUUCCUUAGUUUUAGAAUUGGUGCAAUUAGGUUAGUGCACCUUCUCGCAACUAUUCAAUCCCACUCUCAAACAUUUAGGGAAAAAUCUUACUCUAGAAAUAGGUCAUGUCAGAUAAACCUUAGGCAUGAUGGUCCAAGGCAUCGUCAUCGUAAUUAGGAAACCACCCUUUUGUCAAAGGUUACCAACCCGUCGACAUAUUUUUGUGUGAUGAUUGAUGUUGACGAUCUAAACUAAAACAUAUAAUGGAUUUGAGAUAAACGACUUACUAUACCUUCUUGUUUUUCCUACCAGAUGAAUAUCAAUCCAAAUUUGCCAAACAUCCAAAUGGUCAUCUCUGCCCCUGAUAGCCUACAGAAUUGGUGGGGAAACAUUCGUAUGGGACAUGGUGCGGAAGUUUGGGAACAUUUGGGGGCUCUAUUGUCAUUAAUGAGGAUUCGAGCCCAUAAGACCCUCAUUGCACUGUUGACGGAGCUUUGAGACCCAAACACAGUGACCUUCAAGUUUUUGGACUUCGAGAUCACCCCUACCCUGGAGGAAGUUAGUGAAUUUCCUGAGCUGCCACUUCAAUUGCUGGUACUCCCGUCACCUGUAAGGAAGGAGGAUUUCUUGAGGCUUUUGGGAUUGGAUAUAUUUUCUUUACUAAGGAACGUGGAGGAUGGAAAGGUAAAACUGGAUUACCUUUUUUAGAAAAUUUGGCCGCGUGAAGAAUUAUGACGAACACAGGAAUGAGUUUGUUUGCACCCGCAGACAAUGGGUGCAUUUGCGACCAAGGGUCUUUGUCUUGGCAUUUUCGGGAAUCAUGAUUUUCCCAAUGAGACGAUAUUAUGUUGACAUUAAUAUUAUACUGGUGGUAAUGAAUGUCUUGGCAGAUCCACAGAGGUUCACUUUAAUGCACAUGAUACUUGCAGAGGUAUUCCGGUCAUUAUUCGCCUGCUCUUGGGGACAUAACUUCUUUGGGGGUUGCAACCUGCUGUUAUAGAUCUGGGUGAUAGAACACUUCUAUCGUCACCUUCCACAUAUGGACUAUACGAUCGAUGCACGUAGUCGGAUCCAAAGUCAUGAGGAUCGCUUAAGGUAUUGGAUCACGCCAACUGGGGGGAGAAGUGGCGCGAAUUUUUAAAUAAUCUUACUAGUGAUUCCAUCCAAUGGAAGUACUCUUGGAUAGGGGGAUAUGCCUUCAUCAGAACUAGGCAUCUGUAUUUCAUUGAGCUGAUUGGGCUACAUGGUAUCCAACCAUAUGCACCUCCGCGGGUUCUUAGACAAUCUGGAUCAUCUAGGAUAUCCCACUUUGGUCUACAAUGGUACUUCAUAAAGACAAUUAUGGUUCUUUGAUUCCAACUGCACGAGUGGCAAACCUGCAAAUGGAGUGGGAUUAUAUGGUUAUGUUAAGGAUAGAAGGACAAAAAUAGUGCACACUGGAAUAUUAUGCGUGGCGCACCACCGUGAGUUACAUAGCCAGACCGAGCGAAGAUGGUUUUCGAGGACUCACAAACCCUUGGUAUGUCCAAUAGGUUAAGAGAGAGGUGCUUCCCAGCAUAGAUAUCACUACACCCAUGUAUAACUAAAUAAUCCUAGGUUCUUUUGAUUAUCUAAUUCCAGUGAUCGAGGAGGAUCCUGAAGAAGAUCCAGAGAAAAACCAGAGGAGGAGGAAGAAGAAGAAGACCCCGAAGAGGACCCGGAGGAAGAACCCAAAGAAGAACCUGAGGAAGACCCAGAAUGGAUAGAAUAAGACCCUCAGGAAGGCUAAGAUAUAGGCUCUAAUAUUUAUGAUCCCGAAGACGAAGGGGUGAUAAAGGUAGACUUGGCACUUGAUCAUGACUUAGAGGGAUCCCCGGAGUACCAUCCAAAAUCCUAUUUUGAUGAGGGUAGAGAUAAUAGUGAUGGUGAAUGUGCCACCUGGCCUUAGACUACCUUUCCUAUUGUAACUUUUAUAUUCCCAAGAAAGAGCCACAUGGCCCACCCCAUUGUAAGCCCUUGCGGUCAUCUUUUCAUUUUCUUUCAAGCUGUCGUUGAUCUAUUUUGAUGUAACCUUUUGAAACACCAUUGUUCAAUGAAAGUUGUGAUUAUUCUCAAAUCCAAAUGUGUUUAAAUAGACAUUUAUCAUCAACUAACAUGGCGUUAUCUUGGCGUAUAUAUAUGUUACUUACUUGUUACAUUUUCAUAAUUGCCCAAACUAACAUAGUUUCCUUUUUUUUUCUUUCUAUCUUUCCUUUUGUUUAUUAAUUCCCCAAAUAAAAUAAAAAGAAAGUUCAUUUGUGUCAAUUGAAAAAUUGGCGGAAUCCCAAUACAACCUUCGGUCCAAAGGAAAUAUGACUAACAAGGACCAAUCCAACAAAGCUAUGAUGAUCCCAGUAGAUGACACCGAGAGUUCCCAGAGGCCAUCAGACACCCCAAACGACGAACAAAUGGCCAACAUGGCGCAAGAAAUUAAAAUCUUGAAAGAAGAGAUACGUCAAAUACGAGAUUUAACCAAGCUUACAAUAGCUAGAUUUCCCGCUCAGUUGCAGGAUCCAAGUAUUGAACUACCUCCAGGCGCUUCUGCUAACCCAGAAAAUAUACCAUACACUCAAGCCAUAGCCGCUCUUCAACCCACUGUCGAGAUGGUGCCUGCUUAUUCAUUUCCUGCUCAAAACUUUAAUACUCCCAUACAUCCAGAGAUGCAACAUAUACCUGAGGCACAUGUCACUUGUGAGAUACCUGUGCCACCUGUAUACGCUACCGAAGCUCCUACCUUCCCAACAUCUGCGACUCUUAAGGUUUCAUAUGAGGUGGAUCAAUAUGCAAGGUUAGGGAAGGAUGUUUAAUCAAGUGAAGAAGUCAAGUGAAGAAGGGUCAUUAGCAGUCUAAUUUGAAAGUCUCAAGAGAAUUUAGAAAUGUCCAGGUCAAUAGAGGGACUAAAAGCUUGGACUACGAUAACUUAUAUAUUCCUCCAAACAUCGACAUCCCAGUGGGGUACAAACCACCAAAGUUUAAUGUAUUUGAUGGAAAGGGUAACCCACGUGUACAUCUGAGGGCUUACUGCGAUAAGUUGGUCGGUGUGGGAAGGAAUGAGAAGUUGAGAAUGAAGCUAUUCAUACGGAGUUUAUCGGGGGAAGCUUUGACUUUGUACACUCAACAAGACCUCUACAAGUGGCGUGACUGGAUAGAAAUGGCUGAGGACUUCAUGAAUCGCUUUAGGUUUAACACCGAGAUUGCCCCAGAUAGGUUCUCAUUAGCCAAUAUAUAGAAGAAGCCAUCGGAAUCAUUUCAAGAAUAUGCAUGGCAUUAGAGGACUGAGGCUGCCAGGUUCCAGCCUCUAUUGGAUGAAAAUAAACUCUCCAAGUAUUUUAUCCAAACUCAAAAAGGUGUUUAUUUUGAUAAGAUGAUGUUAAUGAUGGGCCAAAAGUUUACAGAGUUUUUCAAGAUGGGGGACUUCAUAGAAGAAGGCAUCAAAUCAGGUAAGAUCCCAUCUAUUGUUGCACUACAAGCUGCAAGUAAGGACAUGCAGACUGGUUCCAUUAAUGGUAAUAAGAAAAAAAAGGAAAGAUGUCUCAGCCGCCACACCAUACUAUCAACCUGGAAAUUCUUUCUACUAUUACCCUAACAACCCCUAAAUUGUUGCACAUGUCCUAGCGUACAAUACUCAACUGUAUUAUAAUCCACCUCGAGCUCCAACAUACCAAAAUCAACCAAGAUCGUACGCCCCUGUCCAAGCUCCAGUUCACCAAAAUAGACAUGCCUAUGCGCCCAGACCACGUCUAAAUUUUGAAGCCAGAAAUACUUGCACCUACAUACCAAUUGCAGAACCUUUGGCCCAGUUGUUUGAGAGAUUAAGGGCAGCUAGUUUGUUGCAUCCAAUGAGAAAAAGGCCCCUAAUCUAAUGUCUCAAAACUUUGACAAAAGCAAGCGGCGCAUCUAACACUCAGGAGUCUAGGGGCAUGACACAGAAGACUGCUACAGCUUGAAGAAUCAAAUUGAGUCUCUCAUAAGUAGGGGUAUAAUCAAAUGCACCACCGCAGCUUUAAAUGUGAACAAUAACCCCAUGCCAAAUCAUGAAAAUUAAGAAGUUAAUAUGAUUACUUUAGAGGAGGAGUAUGAUUCGGAAGAAACAAUUGUUCCCACAUGGAACGCAGAAGAAAUUGCCAUUAUAUCACCAUCACAACCGUUUAUCACAGUUCAAUUGAGGAAGCCUAUAACUGUUCAAACCUACCUUCCAAGAGUCAUAGUAACCACAUUAGCCACUGAAAGGCUCGACUAUGACACUAAGGCAGUUCCAUGGGACUAUCGAGCUAAGGCCAAGGGCAAAAUGAUAGACGUUGCUGCAGCUCAAGGGAUGACUAGGUCAGGGAGGUGUUACACACUAGAAGAAACAAAUUAUAGAGCUCUCGAGAAAGAUCAAAACUCGGGGAGAAAUAUCAUGAAUGCCGAAGCUGUAGAAUUUUAGAAAAAAAGAUACAACUUAAGGACUAUUCCAUCGAAGAUCAACUCAAGAAGACACCGGCCCACAUAUCUGUCAUGUCUUUGCUUACAAGUUCUGAAGCCCAUAGAAAUGCUUUAAUGGAAGUGUUAUAUGGGGUUAGCAUACCAAAGGAGACCACUAGCGAGACUUUGGUUGCAGUAAUCGCGCGAGUGGUGGAGGCAAACAAAGUCUCUUUCCAUGAUGAUGAGUUACCAUCAGAAGGGGCGACACACAAUAAAACACUCUAUAUUGUAGUCAAAUAUCAUGAUAAAAUUGUGAACAGGGUCUUAAUCGAUGGUGGUUCAAGUUGUAACAUUUGUUCAUUCUCCACCCUAAGGGAUUUGGGUAUGAAUAUAGAAGACAUAAGGGAGAGUCGGGUAAAGGUCCGAGCCUUUAAUGGGUAACCAAGGAGUGUUAUUGGAGAAAUUUACUUGACACUGUAGAUAGAACCAUUAGAAUUUCCUAUCCUUUUCAAUUCAUGGAAGUGUCAUCUAGCUACAACCUGCUGCUGGGAAGGCAAUAGGUCCAUAUGGCAAGAACUGUUCCUUCCACUCUUGUUCAAUGCGUGAAGUUUGAGUGUUGUAGCACAAAAGUUACUGUCUAUGGGGAUCUCAGUCAUCCCAUCUAUUCUGUCAAUUCAGUCCCAAUCAUCGAGGAAUUAGAUGGAUCCACUUUCCAUACCUUGGAGAUUAUACAAGCUACAAGGAUCGAUGAGAAAAAAGAUCCAGCUGAAAGGAAAAUGUCGAGUGCUAAAAAGAUGGUUGCAUCGUAGAUGUUGAAAUAUGGGUAUCAGCCCAAGACAGGGCUAGGAUCGAGAGCCGAUGGUAUGGUCGAGCCAAUCCAGCUGAAACAUCAAAGAGGUUCUAGAGAUCUUGGAUAUGAGCCCAUUUCUGGAGGAGCCUGCAGUGAAAGAUUUAGAAUAAAGGUAUUCGUGCCAACCCAAGUCCCAAUUUCAGGGCAAAUAAUUGACGAAGAUAUCAUAGAAGGGAUAGGAAAUCUAUUUGUGGCCGUUAUUGAAGAAGAAUCGGUGAUAGAUUUCAAAAAGCUCACCAUCUGGGAUGCUGAACCUGGAGAAGUCCUGCAGAAUUGGACUAUUAGCACAUUCCUAUUCCGUCAGGAGUCUUGGUAGUGCGGGAUUGUUGGUGCUUUAAAAAAAAUAUUUGAGGCUUGAAUCAUGCCAAAGCUCUUUCUGCUACUUGCCUCUUGCCAAAGCCUAGUGCUUUUAUUCAUAAAAGUUAUUAUUUUCAAAACCUAUUUUUAUUAUUUUCAAAACCUAUUUUUCUAUUUUUAAUAUAUAUUUACUUUACUCGCUUUUAAUACUUUUCAGCGCAAAUAUUAAUAAAAAUCCUCGUCCCACGAUUAUGACAUGUAACGAAUCCAUUGAGCAAAAUGUAAACGAAGAGUAGGAUUACGAGAAUUACGAUGAAAGCAUGAUGCCUGAAAACCUACCGUAGGAGAUCGAGCAACUUGAUAGUUAGAAGAAGCCUAAUAUGGACGAAACUAAAGUCGUCAAUUUGGGUAAUGAAGAAAUAGUAAAGGAAACGCUAGUCAGCAUACACUUGGAGGGUGAAAAGAAACAGGGAUAAAUAAGUCUGCUCAAGCAAUACAUUGAUGUAUUUGCUUGGUAUUAUAGCGACAUGGCUAGUUUAAGCACUGAUAUCAUCUCGCAUCGAUUGCCAACUAACCCCACAUGUCCACCUGUGAAGCAAAAGACAAGGAAAUUCAAACCCGACUUGAGUUUAAAAAUCAAGAAGUAGGUGACCAAGAAUAUAGAAGCUAACAUCAUAAGGGUCACAACUUAUCCCACCUAGUUGGUCAACAUCGUGCCAGUACUGAAGAAGGAUGGAAAGAUAAGAAUAUGCAUGGAUUAUCGGUGUCUCAAAAAGGCUAGUUCGAAGGAUGAUUAUCCUCUCCCAAACAUUCACAUUCUUAUUAAUAAUUGUGCAAAACAUGAGUUACAAUCAUUUGUUGAUUGUUUUGUGGGAUAUCAUCAAAUCCUGAUGGAUGACGACGAUGCAAAAAAAACAACCGUUAUCACUCUAUGGGGAGUAUACUGCUACAGGGUAAUGUCAUUUGGACUCAAGAAUGCCGUUACAACAUAGAUGAGAGCCAUGACCACUUUUUUUCAUGGUAUUAUCCACAAAGAGAUCGAGGUGUAUGUGGAUGAUGUUGUUAUUAAGUCCAAAAGGAGUUCAGAUCACCUAGAUGACUUAUAAAAGUUCUUUGAAAGGCUGUGAAGGUACGACCUAAAGUUGAAUCUAGCCAAGUGCACCUUUGGAGUUCCUACAGGAAAGUUAUUGGGAUUCAUUGUUAGUAGGAGAGGUAUAGAGUUGGAUUCAUCCAUGAUAAAAGCAAUCCAAGACUUACCAUCUCCUAAAACUAAAAAGGACGUAAUGAGCUUCUUGGGAAGUCUCAAUUACAUCAGUCGGUUGAUAGCCCAGUCCACGAUAAUUUGUGAACCAAUAUUCAAGUUAUUGAAGAAGGAUGCCACAACUGGAUGGACUGAAGAAUGUCAAAAGGCUUUUGACAAAAUCAAGGAGUAUUUGCCUAACCCACCAGUAUUGGUUCUACCAAAAUUGGGAAAGACCUUGCUGUUUUAUUUAUCUAUUAUGGAUAAUACAUUUAGGUGUCUGUUAGGGUAGCCUGAUGAUACUGGGAGGAAAGAGCAAGCCAUUUACUACCUGAGUAAGAAGUUCACAUCGUAUGAAGCAAGGUAUACAUUGUUAGAGCGAACUUGUUGUGCAUUGACUUGGGUUGCACAAAAGUUGAGGCACCACCUGUCUGCAUAUACCACGUACUUGAUUUCAAGAAUGGAUCAACUCAAGUACAUCUUUCAGAAGCCAAUGACUAGUGAAAAAUUGGCAAAAUGGCAGAUUUUGUUGAGUGAGUUUGACAUUGUGUACGUAAUACUAAAAGCCAUCAAAGGACAAGCUUUGGCUGAUCACCUAGCAGAAAAUAUAGUGGAUCGAGAUUACAUGCCACUCAAUACUUACUUUCCUAAUGAAGAGGUGUUGUUUGUAGGAGAAGACAUCUCAGAACCAUAUGAUGGAUGGAGAAUAUUCUUUGAUAGAGCAGCAAACUUUGAAAGAGUCAGAAUUGGAGCUGUUUUAGUUUCGAAAAUAGGUCAACAUUACCCAAUCUUGGCAAAUAUUAGGUUCCUUUGCACGACUAACAUGACAGAAUAUGAGGCUUGCAUCCUCAGACUUAGGAUGGCAGUAGACAUGGACAUCAAGAAGCUAUUGGUGAUAGGAUAUUCAGAUGUAGUGAUCCAUCAGGUGCAAGAAGAAUGGACCACCAAGAAUGUCAAAAUCCUUCCUUAUAUACAAUAUGUUAAGGGGUUGAGCAAAAGGUUUACGAAGAUUGAAUUCAAACACGUCCCUCGAAUUCAAAAUGAGUUUGUCGAUGCCUUGGUGACAAUAUCCUCAAUGAUUCAGCAUCAGGAUAAGAAUUACAUCGAUCCCAUCAAGGUGGAGAUAUACAACCAACAAGCAUACUAUUUCUAUGUAAAUAAAGACCCAGUUGGAAAACCAUGGUACUAUGACGUCACGAGGCUACUCGAAGCAGAGGAAUAUCCAGAAGGCGCUACCGACAAAUAGAAGAGGACUUUAAAAAAGAUGGCCAAUAACUUCUUUCUUAACAAGGAAAUCCUAUAUAGGAGAACUCCAGAGUUGGGAUUGUUACGAUGUGUUGAUGCCACGGAGGCCACAAGAUUGUUAGAGGAGAUACACGAGGGGAUAUGCGGACCUCACAUGAAUGGUUUCAUGCUUGCAAAGAAGAUCUUGAGAUCUGGAUAUUUUUGGAUGACCAUGGAGAGGGAUAGCAUUUGAUACAUGUAGAAGUGUCACCAAUGUCAAGUUCAUGAAGACUUUAUAUGAGUUCCGCCAAAUGAGCUCAAUGUGAUGGGUUAUCCUUGGCCGUUUGCCGCUUGGGGCAUGGAUGUUAUUGGGUCCAUAGAGCUUCCUGCAUAUAAUAGACAUUGUUUUAUCUUGGUGCUAUCGAUUACUUCACAAAGUGGGUUGAGGCCUCAACACAUAAGGCCGUAACCAAGAAGGUGGUGGCAGAUUUUGUUUGAAAUAACUUAGUCUGUCGGUUUGGAAUUCCAGAGUCAAUCAUAACAAAUAACGGGGCUAAUCUCAAUAGCAACCUAAUAAGAGAGAUUUUUGAAAGGUUUAAGAUCUCUCAUCGAAAUUCCAUGGCAUAUCAACCACAAAUGAAUGAAGCAGUUGAGGCUGCAAAAAAAAACAUCAAGAGGAUCUUGAGGAAGAUAGUGAAUGUUAAUAGGGAAUGGCAUGAGAAACCAUCAUAUGCUUUGCUCGGCUAUCGCACCAUGAUCAGAACAUCUACUGGGGCAACUCCCUACAUGUUGGUUUAUGGGUCGGAAGAAGUGAUACCUACAGAAGUAGAGAUACCCUUAUUGAGAGUCAUCUAGGAGGUUCGUAUAGAUGAUGCUGAAUGAAUUCAUAGCAGGAUCGAGCAGUUGAUGCUCAUUAAUGAGAAGAGAUUGGAUACGAUCUGUCAUGGUCAAUUAUAUCAAAAUAAAAUAAUUAAGGCGUUCAAUAAGAAGGUCAAACCUCGUCGAUUUAUACCAGGACAGUUGGUAUUGAAGAAGAUAUUACCUCACUAAGAUGAAGCCAAAGGGAAAUUUGUGUCAAAUUGGCUAGGUCCCUACAUAGUCCAUCAAGUACUUUCAGGAAGAGCAGUAAUACUUGCAGAGAUGGACGGCAUAGUAAGCACGAAGCCGAUCAAUUAGGACGCCAUCAAGAAGUACUAGCCUCACUUCCUACGGCGGGAUACGUAGGUAGCCCACAUAGGGUUCAGUUUUUCUUAGAAAACCCAAAACAUCAUCCUUUCAUGUAUUUAGAACUAUGCCCGACCUGACUUCCCAUGGCAGGAUACGUAGGAAAUCCACCUCAGAUUCGGUCCCUUCAUAUUUAACCCUUUCAUUGUACUGAACUACGGCCUGACCUGAUUCCACUUGGAUACGUAGGCAGCCUGAGUCAUACCCGAUCAUUGCAUUAUUUUUACUCUAUCUUUUGUAUCGAACUAUGUUAUGACCUGAUUCCUAUCCUUAGGAUACAUAGGCAGCCUGAGUUGGGCUUGGUCACUGCAUUUCAUAUUUUCAGUUCUCCGAUUGUAUUUGAACUACAUCAUGACCUGAUUCCACUUGGAUACGUAGGUAGUCUGAGUCAAACUUGGUCUCUAUAUUUUAUUUUACUUCUCCACCCCCGAACUAUGUGCAUACCUGAUUCCUAUUUUAAGGAUACGUAGGCAACCUGAAAGGUUUGGUCUCACCUUUAGGAAAAUCCUCUCUGCUCAUGGUAUAGCCUUAGAAUAUAAGAGAUCUCGCCGCCAGAAUCAUCGUAGCUUUGACAGUCAUAGAAGCUCCAGUCGAAGGAUAAGGCUACAGGGAUCGUGAUCAACAAAUGGAGGUUUAACAGAUUUUUGAAUGUGUCAUAAUCUAAAAAUGAUAAAAGAUUACUAUAUAUACGUAAUAUAUUUGCAAAACUUAUAUACCUAUAUGUAUUUUUCACUAUACUUUCCAACUUUCCCACCUACUGAGACUCCGGUCUUGAGAUUGAUCGAGCAACCGAGGGAGUGUUGGAGAAUUCUGUAAACAAAGAUAGGAUCCCCAAGUCAACCCAAAUCAACACCCCCUCCCAACCAAGAAUUUUUCUUUGAGCGCAGAAAAAUAGGAAUCGAAAGACGACAUCAAGUCAAACUUUGCUACAGGAUUGAGAACAUCAUGCAUCUUAUCACCACAACAUGAGCCAAAUAUUCUUCCCUUACUUUAUUCUCUUUACAUACAUUUAUACUGAUCCUCACAUACUUUAAGAGUUUUAUUCAAAUUCUUUCGCAGGUACAUUCUAAAACCCCGGGUUUGAAAGGAAGAAAAGAGGAUCCUCAUAAGAAUAUUAGGUUAUUUACUUCUCCCAAUAAACUCCACAAGUCGGAACCAACCACCUGACUAUGCUGAAUAACUCCACAAAUCGAAGGAUAUCGUCUGACUUCAACAUAGUCAAGAUUUUGCGAGCUAAGGACUAUGCAUAAACAAAUAAAAGUUGAGUUUUCACAUUUCUAGGAUUGUAUAUAAGCAAACAAAAGUCGAGCUUUCAUAUUUCGAGGACUGUAUAUAAGCAAACAAAAGUCAAGCUUUCAUGUUUUGGGGACUGUAUAUAAGCAAACAAAAGAUGAGCUUUCGUGUUUCGAGGACUGUAUAUAAGCAAACAAAAACUAAGCAUUCGCAUUCCAAGGACUAUAUUUAAGCAAACAAAGUUGAGAUUUCAUAUUUCGAGGACUGUAUAUAAGCAAACAAAGUCAAGCUUUUGCGUUUUGAGGACUGUACAUAAGCAAACAAAUUCGGGAUUCAUAUUCUGAAGAUUGUACAUAAGCAAGCGAAGCAGACAUCCACUGUUGGAGGCUUUACUUUUUGAGCACUGCUCCCCAGUCGGAUGGCAUUUACUAUUAGCAAUUGGUCAACCGACGGAGGCUAUUUAUAUUUCAGUUGAUGGAGGCUAUUUAUAUUUCAGCCGAUGGAGGCUAUUUAUAUUUUAGUUCCUACUCAGUCGAUGGAGGCUAUUUACAUUUCAGUAGAUUCUUAGCCGGCGGAGGCUAUUUAUAUUUCAGCUGACGGAGGUUAUUUACAUUUCUAUUACUACUCAGCCAACGGAGGCUUUUUACUUUCAAGCAGCUACUCAGCCGACGGAGGCUAUUUACAUUUCAGUUAUUGCCAUGCCAGUCAGAGACCUCCACAAACGGAGACAAUACUAGUUUGAAUAUCUGAACUCCACUCUUUAAAUUACAAUUUCAAUUUACAACUUUUGAACAAACAGGUAUUUUUCACCUCUUUUACUUGUUUUGCAGGAAUAUGCAGCGCAACGUGGAACUACCCUCUUAGAAGCAAACUGGGGCAAGCUAGUGGAAUGUCAAGCAUCCCUAUCUACUGUAAUGCACCGGAAAAUGGGUCCCCAAGCAUCACACGAUGCUUAAGGAUACGAGUAGCCCCAAGCUAACCCUUUGAGCCAUUUUCAUUCAGUCAACACAAAUCAACGAGGUUUCCAUAAAUAACCCUCAAAUAUCAACAGAGUAAUUAUCAUCCAAGAAUAAAAGAAUUUUAGAAAGAUAACAAAAUACGACUUAUUAGUCAACUCCCAUCUAUACUAUUCUGACAAGCUUCUAAGAAAAUCAAUAAAACCAGCGAGCCAUUAAGACAUGCCCUAACUGACUCAUACUCAGUUAUCAAAUGUAAACGAUUCCAUGAAACCAACAUCAGACAUCACGUCCUCGAAACAUGAGGACUCACCACAACAGAGGAUGUGGAAUAGCGUGCCCAAAGAAUCACUGUCGAACCUGGAACUGAGCGCCUGAACCUAUAUUUUGAGAAAAUGCAGCCCAUAUCCAAAGAUGUGGGUCAGUACCAUGGAAAGGAACGGAGUAUAUGGGGGUGUAUGGAGUUGUAUAAACGUCAUCAUCAUAAAUAUUUAUAAGAAAUAUGCAGGAUAUAUGAAUGACUCACAUAUCCCAAGGAAAAUCAUCAUAAUCAUGAGAGGAUGAAAUAAGUACAAUAACAUAUGUGAGUCAUCAUAUAAUUUGUCAAUCACUUUCAGUUCAUCAAGAAUAUCAAUUCUCAUAAUGUAAAUAUCAUUUAAAUCUUUCGAAAGAAUAACUUUCACAAUUCCACUUUCAAAUCACAUCACCAUUCACCAUAGAGACAAGGAAACACACACACACUAGGAGAUUCUAUAACCGACAUAAACCAUGUGAGCUACAAGGAGUCCAACGUACAAUCCACAUUGGGGAGAGCCAUCCUAUCCUUGCCAUCGGAGUAGGACUAUCGAUAUCAAAUCCAGACAAACUAGUGAUCACUAUAUAAAUCAGCCUUAGGCUCACUCCUAUGGGGGCACGUAUUUCUAGGGAAGUAAGGUCGCUUUAUACCUCCCACUCGGUGCUAAAAAUUUCUUCCGAACUUACCUCAGAUCAUUCCAAAGAUAAUCCAUAAUAAAACAAUUUCAGUAAUAUAUAAAUAUACAUCGGGAACCAUCACACUUGAGUUCAAAACAACUCCAUUAAGACCAAAAGGUCAAAUCAUUCAAAAUAUCUCAAAUAUUCAACAUCAACGUGCUUAUAACACAUACUUUCUAAAAAAAACAAAAUUUCCAAUGGGGAUUCACGACCUAAAUAUCAAAAUCAUGAUAAAUAUCAUUUAAGAUUCAUGUUUUAUAUCUCCACACAUGUAAAUUCAUCUUUCAAAAUCAUAAACAUCAAGAUUUCAUAAUAAUCAUCAUAAGAUAUGGGUUCAUGCUUCAAAUUCAUAAAAAUCAAAUAAAAAUCAUGCCUUUGUAAAGAAAAUUACUUUUGGGCACAAGAACGAAAGAGAGUUCUUGUUGAAAAACCCCACAUACCUUGAAUGAUGAACUAUAGAUCAAUACUCAUUUUUGAGAUGUUAAUCGUGCCUUUGAAUGAUGGUUCUUGGAGUUCUUGAACUAGGAACUUGGAAUCUUGAAUAAAUUUACAGAAUUAAUGGUGAACUUUGGAGGUUCUUGAAGUUGGAUGUAGGAGCUUAGGAUUUUCUUUUUGAGGAAAUUUGAUGAAAUAUAACAUAUAAUGCUUCUAAUAGGCUUUAAUAUAGGGUUUGGACAGAUUUUGGGUAAGGGAGAAUGACCAAAACGCCCCUAAAAAUCAAAUAAUUCUCGAAUCGUUUUACUCCGAUAUCCAGAUUGGAUGAAACUAAUUUCAUUAGAAAAAGAACUCUCAUAUCUUUUCAUUAAUAUAUAGUAUCUCACCUAGAUCAUUGUGUACGAGGAGUUAUGAUCGUUUAAAGUUGACCCAAAAAUUUGCUUUUGAUAGGCUGAAGUAGAUCGACUAUAAGUUUUUGCUCCGAUAGACAAAUUGGAUGAAACUAAUUUCAUUGGAAAGAGGAAUCGCAGAGCUUUCCAUUGAAAUAUAGUAGAUCACCCAGAUCAUUAUGUACAAGUAGUUAUGAUCAUUUAAAGUUGGAGCAAAAAUAUGCCAAGCCUCAGUACCUUUUUCCUGCAGGUUUUACUGUUCACUACUAUUCAUGGUUCGAUCGGAAUGUUCAUAACUCGUCGCUCGGGUGUACGUUUUGGAUGAUUCAUAUAUCAUUGGAAAUCUUAUUUGAUACUCUACGUAAUGGUGGGUCAUAAUCUAAGACACUCCGCAUGAAAAAUUUAUAAUUCAUUCUAGAAGAUAGAACCCAACACGUUUACGCAUAAAAUUUCAACAAAAAAUUUCCCGGGGUAUUACAGGUACGUCAAGGAUUUCGGCAAAGAAACUCAACUCAACUCAAAUCAAAACUCUCAUUUUUAUAAUUUUUAGUUAUCACCAAGUGUCGUCUUAAUUCGACACUGGGUAAGUUUGAAAAUCUGCAAUCUCCUUUUUCCUUAAAAUCCUCAGCAAAUAUUACUAUCCAGCGAUAUCCCAUUCCCAGUUAUCUUAAACAACUAAUUCAAGGAUAAGUGCACCUGUAUUCAUUUCAUUCGUGUUGAAAUCUUUGUUGUCAUCCUCGAAGGAACCCAGUGUCACCAUAAUUCUACACUAGGGCAAAAUUUUGAUAUUUAUCAAAGGUUUGUUCGAACUACAAAUGGCCUGACUUCUCAUAAAAUUCGAGAUAUGUAGGCAGCUCAAAAACCAGAGCCCGUCCAUAAUCUUCCAAACAUUUUAUUUUGCCCGAGACAAAAUUGGUUACGUCAAUUUGAUUGCCCAAAGAUUUUCACAUAAAUGUUUAUCCACUCAGGUGCAACUGUUGACACCUAAUUUUGGUUCGCUCUUUUCCUCUAAUUAAUUUUAUUGAUGUGCUUGGCCCUAAAUAAUUUUUACAAAAUAAAAAUAAUAAGGUUCGUAUUUUUGUCUCUAUUGCUACAAAAUUUUAAAUAAGAGGAAAUUUAUUUUUAUCAUAUCAUAAGAUUAUUUUAAUUAAAUAUAAUCAAGUAUUUUAACAUCAAAAUCACAAAAAAUAUCUUGCGGUAAUUGCAUACGCAUUCUUUCUAAUUUUAUCCUUUAGGUGAUAUUGUGAUUAUAUAUAUAUAUAUAUAUAUAUAUAUAUAUGCAUAUUNNNNNNNNNNNNNNNNNNNNNNNNNNNNNNNNNNNNNNNNNNNNNNNNNNNNNNNNNNNNNNNNNNNNNNNNNNNNNNNNNNNNNNNNNNNNNNNNNNNNNNNNNNNNNNNNNNNNNNNNNNNNNNNNNNNNNNNNNNNNNNNNNNNNNNNNNNNNNNNNNNNNNNNNNNNNNNNNNNNNNNNNNNNNNNNNNNNNNNNNNNNNNNNNNNNNNNNNNNNNNNNNNNNNNNNNNNNNNNNNNNNNNNNNNNNNNNNNNNNNNNNNNNNNNNNNNNNNNNNNNNNNNNNNNNNNNAAUUUAUCCAUAUAUAUAUAUAUAUAUAUAUAUAUACAUAUAUAUAUACAUAUGGAUAUUUAUAUAUACAUAUAUAUACAACUUUUUUUUUAUAUUAAUUAUAAGAUAUUUAUUUUUAACCGUCCGAUCAAAUGAUCGGAUGGACCAUAUUCUGAUCAACAACCAGUACAACAAACGCCUAUUCUCUUUGGAAAAAAAAAAACCAAGCACGUGCCUCUUACCAAAAGAAAAGAAAAGUAGUAUUACAUCUUAUCCCUUUCCUUAAUAAAUGAGAUCUUCUUCCUCUUCUUUCCCUUAUCUCAUCUCCACCACCCCACCUCCUACCCUGACAAAACUCAACCACUGCCUGCAUCUCCUAUCUUCCCACCCCAAAAAUCUACCAACUAGUGAAGGCAAUCAAUUGAAGUUCUCUAAGUCAAAUAACAAAAAUCUUAUCCCUGCGAAGUCAUAUCUCUCACUUCAAAUCCAUUAAAUCUUGUCAGCGUGAAUCCCUCCUUCUCCUGUUUCUAUGGCUUGAGGGCCCAAAAGUGUCACCCUCUCCACUGUUAACUUGGAGGAAAGGAUAACAAGUUCAUGUUCAUCCGUCAUGCCUUUCAAAUCAGCUUGAAAAAGAGGUAAAUCCCUAUCUUUACUCUAUUUUCUUUCAAAAACCUAUGGAUUUUCCCAUCAAUAAUUUGAAUUUGAAUUUUGAAUUCAAUUUAGAGCCUCCUUGAGAAGCUCUCACACUCCAGAGUGUGCUUAUAAAAGGGGCUAUGGCCAUUCCUUUAGGGCUAGAAGAAAAAUUUGGGGAAAAGAAGAAAGAGUAAGGAGAAAAGGAAAAAAAUUUGGAAAAGGGGCUUUAAAAAUCAGAGAAGAAAAGAAUUGGAGGAAAAAGCAAAACUUUGUAAGGAAAUUCUAAGUUCGGAGUCCUAAUCGAGUUCGUCGCUAGAAAAUUCUUGACGCAGAAGCUCCAGUUUUCCUGCCCUAUAAAAUGUAUGAAUUUUUUCCUUUCAUCUCUUUUUUCCUUUGUUUGAGUUCAUAAGCAUGUGUUUAUUCCAGAUUCUGUAAAAUCUCAUGUUGAUGUGAUUAAAAUAAAUGAGUUCUGAUCAAACUCCAAGUUGUUGUUAAUAUCAAAUACUAGACCUAAAUUUGGUUGUAUAUCAAUUUUACGUUGUUGUUAACUCUGAAAUUGGUUAUGAAGGUGAGUGUUUAAGUUUUGAUUUCGUUAGUUCUGAAAAUUGGAUGUAAAAAGCAAAGUAUGUUGCUUUUGAUGUUGAAAAUUGAUUCGUGUAUGAAUAUGCAAUUUUUCUCUCUUAUCGUUUCACUACGAUGUUGUUUUCAUGUUGAUAUUGCCUUUUGUUUAGCUUAAAUAGUGUUAUGGAAACUAAUUUUUUGCUUGAUGUUGAUCACUUGUCGCAAUUCUGUGAAAGGACCCCCUACUUCGUGCUACUUUUACCCAAGAUGUGAAGCCAUCUAAAUGAUAUUUUGAUUCCUCUGGUCAUUUUAGGGGCUGCCACGAAUACCCCAAAAUUAUUGUGUUCAUCAGCUUUAGGUUUGUUUAGUAUCAAUAACAAGGUUAAAAAUUUAUCACUAUAAGGGAUUUCGUAUACUCCUCGAAUAUGCCUUAACUUGGAAAGAAUCCUUCCAUUUUUAUGGAACAUUAAGGUUUGGUUUGAGAACAGCUCUUUGUUUUGCUCAUUUUUUUGAAUCGAAAAAAAACCUUAGAGUAUUCUGGUUGCUCACCAUUUUUUAGUUUAGGUGUGAAACAUUUUAAGAUCAAAAGGGUUGCUUUCUUCCAUCUCCUUUGCAUUAAUUAUCCUGCAAGAAGUAGUUUCUUUUUAACUUUGCUAUUUGAUUAUAAAUUUUCUUGAAUCAUUAUGUUGUCUAUGGUGUGCGGUGUCUUAUACGAGUUAGACAUUACUAUGUGUCAUGUCCUGUUAAGAUAGUUUCCAGUGAUUUGAAAUUAGAAAUAUAUGCAUUAAUUUUAAGGAAAAGGGGUCUUAUGAAUACAUGUAAGAGAAAAACAUUGUAGCGCCCCAAGCCUGGUGCCCGAAACUCUACAUGGUGCUCAUUACCCCAAAGGACCACAAGGUAACCCAUGACUAAUAUCUGUACUUAUACACUACAUAGUAUAACAUAAUAAUGCAGAAACAUGUACUGAAAGGCCGUAAGGUUAAAUACUGAACAUAAUCUAAAUAAUAUAACAUCUGUGUGGGGUAAUAUAAUACCCAAAACAAAACUGAAAAUACUGAAGUCUAAAACAUGAUAGUCUAGAAAGCCUUCAUAACUGAAUAUUCUGAAGAAGAAGUUGAUGGGACAUAUCCCCAACUAACUCUGUCUAGCAAAACUGAACUGAAAUAAUAAGUACUAAUUGUGUCCUUGAAGAAUGAGGACUCACUGUUGAAAACUAGAAUGCUACUGCUGGUCUGGAACUCGCGUCUAUAAACCUAUGGUGUAAAAUAAAAAUAAAACACCAUAGCAUAAAUGCGUCAAGACGAUUGAAUGUGCUAAGUAUGUAUGUGAGGCAGGCUAAAUGCAUGGGGUUCAUAUGCAUGAUUAAUACUAACUGACUAUCUAACAUGAACGUGAGGAUGCAGGCAUGAAUACAUAGUAACUGUAAUUGAAAUCAUGAUAACAUGAUUUCUGAGAAUGAAUACUGAUAAUAUAUGUUAACUGAUAACUAACAUGACAGAUAUAACUGAUAACAUGGGUGACUGUAUCUGACAGUACUGAAUCUGAUAGAACUAUCUGAGUUUCUUUUACUGAAACUGAUACUGAAACUGUGGGAAGUAGUUAUCUAAUUGGUAUGCCUCAAAUGCGCUAUAAUAGCUGAGCUGGGGUCCAAUCUGUUCCCUGAUUGGAAGGGUAUCAAUCUCGCGUCACCGGUAAGGACAAGCUGUGAGGACCCUAUACUGGCAGGUACUCAAAAUGAGAAUGGUGGGAACCCUAAACUGACAGGUUAAGCCACCUCAGCAACCCUAAACUAACAGGUUAGAUGUCUUAACCUACGUUGUCUACGUAGUUCUGGAACACAAGGAUUGCUUCUAAGAAUUACACCCUAAACAGGCAGGUGAGUUCCCAUUCUUGGGUUCUCUAGAUGCUAAUUUAUACUCCUAUCUGAAAAGACUUUGAACAUAAUUACUGAACUAUACAUGCACUGAGUUUACUGAAUUUUAUUAACUGACGAAAUACUACUGAUGUCUGAUAACUGACUGAGAUCAUAAGAUUUUUGAGAUUUCCUGAGUUAUUUGACUGACUAAAUUCUACUGAAUCUAUCUUGACUGAGGAUAUCAUGAAAACAUGACACGGGCUCAAGGCACACAGCUAUAUUUUUUAGGUAUAAGUACCCCCAGGACUCGAUGUAAGAAAACUGCCACCACAUGACACUUCUUGAUCAUAGGAACAAAGUUCACAAUUCAUAAUGCCAUAAGUAGGGGAUUUCAUACUACACCUUGUUCUCAACAUAUUAUACAUGAAAGGGGAUGCAUAUAACAUGUAACUACUUGCAUAACUCCAAUGUCAUGAACAUUCCAAAUCACAACGACAACACAUAACAUUAGACUUGUCAUUUAGGUACUAUUGGGUCAUGAAAAGAUGAAUUCUUGUCUCCUAGGCAUUUUAUCAAACACCUUGCAUGCACACUUUAGGGCAUAGGUGUAUUAAUCAAUUUGACAAUUCAAACCACUCAAAAUUCAUAUAUUUCAACUUACAUGCCAUUCUAGUUUCAUACAAACAUAUAAUGAUUCCAUCUUGGGAUUGUCCAACACAAACAUAAUCAAAAUCAAGUUGCAACAUGAAUAUCAUGAUAUAUAGUUUAAAAUAUGGUUCUUGAGCUUCAUGGAUGAAAGGAGUCCAUGAAUCAACACAACGCAUACCUUAGAUGAAAGUUCUUGAAAGAUCUAUGGUGAAAUCUCUUGGAUUUGGAUCUUCAAAUUGAAGCCCUUGUUCUUGUUCUUGAUAGAAAUUGAUGAAGAGAAUUAUAUUAUGGUUUUUUAGGGAAUUAGUCAUGUGUUUUUUACUUAUAUAGGGGUGGUAAGAUGACCAAAAUAACCAUCAAGACACGGAAGUGUAAUGCUGAAAAAUUGGGUAUAAAGUCUACACAAACGGCGGUGCCUUUGGUAGAGCCUUUUGUACCCUGGGCAGUGCCUUUGGCGCUGAUUUUCCCACAAAGGCUACACUAUGGGUGGCACCCCUUAAUAGCCUUUGGAUACUGGUUUGGUUCACCAAACAUACCCUUAUGCUACUCUGAAAAUUCUAAAACUCACUCGAGAUGUACUACAUCCUUGCCCCAUCGCAACGCAACUUGAAAAUCUAAAAACGGAGGUCGAAAAGGUCAUCAAAUAAAUUCCUGAAGUUCAAAGGUCUUAAAUGAAACUAAGUGUUGAACACUUAGCAAAAUAUUCUAAGUGUUGAAGCUUGUAAAGCUUAGGGAGCUGAAUUUUAGACUUAGGAUUUUACGGGAUCUUACAAACGUAUCCCGCUUUAAUUACGUGAUUCUUAUUCUAGCUUUAUAAUUCACUGGUCGUGUUUGUUCUGGUGGUUAUCCAAUCUAGUUGAUUUGUUCUAGUUACGAAAAUAUGAAAUAAAAAAUAUCUUUUGAUCGUUCACUUUGCUUACCCAUGAUUAAGUGUUAGUCAAAUGUUGUCAACUUGUGGACCAUCCUUGAGCAAGUUUUACGAGGUUCACAGUUGGUGUCCGGUUGGUGUCUUGUGAAGAUCAACGUUGUGACCAUUUGAACGUUUCAAGACAUAAUAAUAGACUUUGAUUUCCUUGCUGUCCAGUUGUGCCCUUAAAAGGCGUUCAAAGCCUCGGGUUUUGCAUCAAAAGGGCUCCAAAAUGCUAAAAAACUUAUGUAUGGUGGUUGUUCAUCAUAAAGUCUUUGCGACUUUUUACUUGAAUGCUAGAACAUGGCUUUAGUUGCUUAAAGCAUCUUGGUCCAGCUAUGCGCCUAAUUGAAUUAUCAACCUCUAAUUUAACAUGAAAAGAGGCUCCACAGGUUUAAGAUUUGAAAUUUGAUUCAUACAAAUUUUUGCAGGUUAAUGUAACUUGGUUCUAUCGCAUGAACAUGAUCAUAAGUUUUAACCAAGUCUUUUAUAUUCUUGUUUGAAGUGUGUCGUCUAUUUUGUAUCUUUUGUUAUUGUGUCAUUAAAUCGGCUUUAAGCCUUCAGUUCCAAGCCAUAGUUACGCAACAAUUCAUCCUUUCUCGAAAGCAUCCACUUUUCGUUUCUUUGUUGGGUUUUGAUUUUCUUAUUUUUACGAUUCAAGUUUGAAAUUCUCCAAAUUUAAGAGUCGAUUCAUGGUUGAGAAAAUCCCAGUGAAUUGCUCUGCGAAGGGUUAAUAUCCUUCAUAUUCCUAGAGAUAAUGUAGUCUUUUGAAUGCUAUUUGGUCCUCAUUUGAUUUAUUUUCUUAGGUUUGUGUUUAGAAUCUGUGAUUUUAUUUAUUAUGAGAUGAAUUGAAAUAAGUAUUUGACAAAAUAAAUGUACUUAAGAAUUCCCAAAGGCAGAGUAGUACUUUAGAUUAAUCAAAUAUGUGAACAAUGGUACGAUUUAUCCCAAAAUUCUGCUCAUGCUUGUUUUGCCUUAGCCAAAAGUGCAACUUUUCUUUGUUUUAUUUUAGAAAAAAAACCGGUUGCAUGAUCUCACAAGGAAAUAGUUAGUUUUAUUCUUACAGAAUGCUCUCAUUCAAAGCAUGUUUCCUCUCAAUUGCACACAAAUUUUUUAUCUUACUAGUCACUAAUCCUUAUCUUAUUUUUAUUUUUCUAGUUACUAAUCUUUAUAUUUUUUAUUUCAUAUGUGAACCCGGGAGCCGGAGUUACACAAUGGAACUUAUUUUUUGACCCGAUAAUUGGAUCAACCUCCACUAGGAUCACGAGAGCUUUGAAGUCGAGCAAAUUAGAAACCCAACUCAUAAAUGGAGUCUAGUAUCUCUUAUCUUCUUUGAAUUUAAUUUAUACUCUUCAUGUUGAGUUUUAGGAUGAUACUAACUUUUGUUAUUGAAUUUUCUUAUUUUCUUAUAAUAACUUUAAUUAAUUAUUAAAUUUAUGCUAUCUUGUUAUUUGUCGAUCCUUUAGAAGUAGUUUUAACGUUUUGACUUUCGCAAAUAACAUGCGGCUAUCGCUAAGGAAAAUAUUUUUUCCAUAAUCGGCUAAUUCUUUUGGAAAACUCCUUACCGAUAUCUUAAAUGAUAUUAGCAUAGCAACCUUCACAUUUUUUCUUUAAACUAUAACAAAAGAUAAAUAAAUAGAUUUUUAGUUUUAAAUUAAUCGAGAAAGUUAUCAAAAUUUCAGAUUUUCCCAAAAGAGGUUAUUCAUCAACUUUAACUUCUCUUUUAGUACAUAACUCUAACGUUCAAGCUAUUUUAUAUUUUUACUUUCGUUCGGGGUUUCAGAUUCUCAAGAGAUUAGAAAACACGAGGUAUAUACAUUCUUUUGCUACCACGUACAAGGUACAUCGUAUUAUUUUCACAAUAACUAUUUCACAUCAUAUCCAUUAUUACCAUUAUUAUUUACA
rnacentral:lncRNA from 1 species